rnacentral:rRNA from 1 species
UACGAAGGGGGCUAGCGUUGCUCGGAAUCACUGGGCGUAAAGGGUGCGUAGGCGGGUCUUUAAGUCAGGGGUGAAAUCCUGGAGCUCAACUCCAGAACUCGCCUUUGAUACUGAAGAUCUUGAGUUUGGGAGAGGUGAGUGGAACUGGCGAGUGUAGAGGUGAAAUUCGUAGAUAUUCGCAAGAACACCAGUGGCGAAGGCGGCUCACUGGCCCGAGUACUGACGCUGAUGCACGAAAGCGUGGGGAGCAAACAGG